UCUUGGGUGUAAAUAGACUAGAGUACUAUGAACGAUUGUAAAUUUAAAACUCAAAGAACUUGGCGGUGUUUUAGACCAUUUAGGGGAACCUGUCUCAUAAUCGACAAUCCACGUUGUACCUGACCUUUUUUUGUUUUUCAGUUUGUAUACCGUUGUCGUCAGGUAACUUUUUAGAAGAUAGGAGUUGGCCGGAAAAAUAUAAUUUUAUACGUCAAAUCAAGGUGCAGCUAAUAGAAAGGGGAGGAUGGGUUACAGUUAUGAUUUAUAAGUACGGAAGGCGGACUUAAAAGUAAAUUAGAUAAAAAUAAUUUGAAUGAGGCUCUGAAACGUGU
rnacentral:rRNA from 1 species